CGGCGGCGCGUCCCCCGGUGCCCGCCGGCUGCGCAGGAGCGAGGCGGGCGGCGAGGACUUUAAAAAUCGAAUGAAGACCUCCUACCUUGGUGGCAGCGAGGCACCCGCUAUUCCAUGUGCUGCUUUGCUGAGAUGUCCCAAACUCUGCCAGGCCAGGCCCCGCACGUGGCUCUUCUGUCGGCGGUUCUGUCGAAAAACUCCCAGACGCGCACUGUCAUCUCCAUCUUCUAGCGGCCCUCUAUCUCCACAAACUCAUCUUCAGGGGUCCCCUUCCCCAGGAGGUCCGCCUCAGGGUCCUGAUGCCCAAGAUAGUACUGGGUUCUAAACUGACUCCGCACUCACCCAGGCUCCUGGGCCACCAGUACCUGCCUUUCCGAGUUUCUUGGGUAUAAACUAUAAUAAGCAUAAACAAAUACUUUCCUUAUUUCUCAAAAGUUUUUGAUUCAGAGAGGUUGUCUGUUCUUACGGGGAAAGCACAAAACGUCAUAUCGCUUGUUCAACUUUCGUGCGUUUUAUAAGUUUGAAUUUGGACUUAGAAAAUACUGUGUUGAUUUGAGAACAUUACAAAGAAGGCAUCUUCAGAGUCAAAAAUUAUUUCUCAGUUCAGUUUAAAAAAAAACCCAAGAUAUUGCAAAAAAAAAAA